rnacentral:rRNA from 1 species
GACAGAGGAGCCAAGCGUUGUCCGGAUUGACUGGGCGUAAAGCGCACGCAGGCGGGGGCGCGCGUGGGGGGUGAAACCUGGCCGCUUAACGGCCAGGCGCCAUCCCAUACGGCGCGUCUGGAGUGAUGCAGAGGUCGAUGGAAUUGCCGGUGUAGUGGUGAAAUGCGUAGAGAUCGGCAGGAACACCCAGGGGGAAACCAGUCGACUGGGCAUCUACUGACGCUGAGGUGCGAGAGCGUGGGGAGCGAACCGG